AAGCAUAAAAAACAAAGUAUAAUUUAGGACAUUAACUGAAUCUAUACGAAAAAACUAUGAAUCAUAAAAUUUACAAAUGAAAUAUAACUGUAAUGACAAAAUUUAUUUAUUAUUGCUUUAAUUGUUGAAUUUUUAUAUAAGUUAUUCUCAGGGCCGGCGCAAGUCAGGUUCAGCGCGUUCGCCGGAACCCGGCCCCACGUUUUGAGAGGCCCUGCUGUUUACGAAAAUUACCCAAUUAAAAAACACCGAUUUUGAUUAACUUUUUACAGAAUGAUGAUACCAUUAACAGAUGCAAGAUAUUUUUUAGUAGCGAUGAUUCAAUUUAAAGGAGUGACAAAAAUCAUCAAAGUUCAGUGUAACUCCAUAAAGUCCUCAUAUCCUGG
rnacentral:lncRNA from 1 species